rnacentral:rRNA from 1 species
AUUGAACGCUGGCGGCAGGCCUAACAUAUGAAAGUCGAGCGGAUGAAGGGAGCUUGCUCCUGGAUUCAGCGGCGGACGGGUGAGUAAUGCCUAGGAAUCUGCCUGGUAGUGGGGGAUAACGUCCGGAAACGGGCGCUAAUACCGCAUACGUCCUGAGGGAGAAAGUGGGGGAUCUUCGGACCUCACGCUAUCAGAUGAGCCUAGGUCGGAUUAGCUAGUUGGUGGGGUAAAGGCCUACCAAGGCGACGAUCCGUAACUGGUCUGAGAGGAUGAUCAGUCACACUGGAACUGAGACACGGUCCAGACUCCUACGGGAGGCAGCAGUGGGGAAUAUUGGACGAUGGGCGAAAGCCUGAUCCAGCCAUGCCGCGUGUGUGAAGAAGGUCUUCGGAUUGUAAAGCACUUUAAGUUGGGAGGAAGGGCAGUAAGUUAAUACCUUGCUGUUUUGACGUUACCAACAGAAUAAGCACCGGCUAACUUCGUG